AAAUAAGUAAAAAGAACACCAAGAUUUUCAACAAAUUUUACAAGAGAAAGAGAAUAUUGACAUAUCAAACAACGCCUACAAGUAAAAGAAAAAGAACUUGAAGCAUGAAAGAAUUUUUUAUUUCAAGAGUGAUAAAAAUGAAAGCACAACUUGAUGAGUUAUCAUAAGUUGACUUGAAAGCAAAGCUAGUAAGCUAUCAAUAGCGAGAACUUAAAGAACUUGAAGAUGUAAAGCCAAAAAAGCAACUUGACGUUAAACAUGAACAAGAAGAAGAAUUCAAAG
rnacentral:misc_RNA from 1 species